rnacentral:antisense_RNA from 1 species
CUCUAUGGCGGCUGUGCGUGGGAGACCUUCGGGUCUGCCGGCUUAUCUGGUGCCGGCUCGCCAACCUGCGUACAGCUGCCACCCGU